rnacentral:lncRNA from 1 species
GGGGAUCAAUGUCAUUAAAGAACUAUUUGAUGACAUAAACAUGUAAUUCACGCAAGAGGAUGUUGGGGCGAAGAGGUACAAUCUUUGACAUCACGCAAGAGGAGUUACCAGAAGUCUUCCAUUCACCGGCAAUAACUAUACAAUGAUCCGAAACCUUCAAACGGUGAACAUCUGACAUUAGUCUAUUUAUGUGGCUUAGAUUGCACAAAAUUAAAGUUAGAAAACUAACCAAACAGUUAUCCAAAAGCUAAACAUCAAGAUUAAUGAUUUCUUGAAUUUUUCUGAGAAAAAAAGUAAGAAGAAGAAGAUGACGAGAAAGAUGAUGAAUAAUGUGA